rnacentral:rRNA from 1 species
UUAGGACGAACGCUGGCGGCGUGCCUAAUACAUGCAAGUCGAACGGUCUUUCUAUGGAAGCUUGCUUCCACUGAGAAGAUAGUGGCGAACGGGUGAGUAACACGUGGGUAACCUGCCCAUAAGAGGGGGAUAACAUCCGGAAACGGGUGCUAAUACCGCAUAGUUUUCUUGAUCGCAUGAUCGGGAAAGGAAAGACGGCCUUUGUGCUGUCGCUUAUGGAUGGACCCGCGGCGUAUUAGUUAGUUGGUGAGGUAACGGCUCACCAAGACGAUGAUACGUAGCCGACCUGAGAGGGUGAUCGGCCACAUUGGGACUGAGACACGGCCCAAACUCCUACGGGAGGCAGCAGUAGGGAAUCUUCCGCAAUGGACGAAAGUCUGACGGAGCAACGCCGCGUGAGUGAAGAAAGGUUUUCGGAUCGUAAAACUCUGUUGUCAGAGAAGAACAAGUUGGAGAGUAACUGCUCCAGCCUUGACGGUAUCUGACCAGAAAGCCACGGCUAACUACGUGCCAGCAGCGGC